rnacentral:rRNA from 1 species
ACUCCUACGGGAGGCAGCAGUCGAGAAUCUUCCGCAAUGGACGAAAGUCUGACGGAGCGACGCCGCGUGGAGGAAGAAGGCCCUCGGGUUGUAAACUCCUGUCAGAGCUUAAGAACCCGGAACGGUCAAUAGCCGUUCCGCUGACGAAGGGCUCAAAGGAAGCCACAGCUAACUUCGUGCCAGCAGCUGCGGUAAUACGAAGGUGGCGAGCGUUGUUCGGAUUCACUGGGCGUAAAGCGCGCGUAGGCGGCUUGAUAAGCCGGUUGUGAAAGCCCGGCGUCAACCUGGGAACGGCAUCCGGAACUGUCAGGCUAGAGUGCAGGAGAGGAAGGUAGAAUUCCCGGUGUAGCGGUGAAAUGCGUAGAGAUCGGGAGGAAUACCAGUGGCGAAGGCGGCCUUCUGGACUGACACUGACGCUGAGGUGCGAAAGCGUGGGUAGCAAACAGGAUUAGAUACCCUGGUAGGCUCUGCU